rnacentral:tRNA from 1 species
CAGGGAGACAAACAAUCGAUCUUGAUGUUUGAAUUUUUAUUUUUAGACCAAGAUCCUGUCACCUUAGGUCGAUCGGUACCUCUUGAUUGAUUGCACUCAGGUGCACUCAAUUUUCAGUUCCUAAACUUGUCUAGGUCACACCCAACAAGUGUUCUCCUGGGCCAUUAGCUCAGGUGGUUAGAGCGCACCCCUGAUAAGGGUGAGGUCCCUGGUUCAAGUCCAGGAUGGCCCAUUCGGUGUUGGGGGUAUAGCUCGGUUGGUAGAGCGCCUGCCUUGCAAGCAGGAUGUCAGCGGUUCGAGUCCGCUUACCUCCACUGAUCAACUACCUAAUAACCAAUGGAAAGGAGAUUGUCUUUGUUUGAUGUGAUUUAGAUUUGUCUAUCUGAAUAGAGAACCUAGCUUCCUAUCAUUUAACUCUAAAUGUAAUUUAGACAUCAUGAUAAGACGCUGGGCUCACUGAAAUUUUUAUGAUUUCAGAGAACUUCAGUAGAACCUUGACAACUACAUAGGUGAGUCUGGAAAGAAUAAAGCAUCUCAUGGAUGCAUUAUUCUUAAUUCAGAUUUUGUAAAAUGUGAAAAACAUUUUUCAGAAUUAGUUUUUAGAAUAAUGCGCAAUUCUUGAGUAAAGAGCGAAAACAUCCAUAAACCAAAUAGUGUUUUAUCACUUGGUUUGUGGAUAUAAAA